rnacentral:rRNA from 1 species
UACAGAGGGUGCAAACGUUGCUCGGAAUUAUUGGGCGUAAAGCGCACGUAGGCGGUUUGGUAAGUUGGAUGUGAAAACCCUGGGCUCAACCCUGGAAGUGCAUCCAAGACUGCCAAGCUAGAGUGUCGGAGGGGGUCGGAGAAUUCCCGGUGUAGAGGUGAAAUUCGUAGAUAUCGGGAGGAACAUCUGUGGCGAAGGCGCCGACCUGGACGACAACUGACGCUGAGGUGCGAAAGCAUGGGGAGCAAACAGG